rnacentral:rRNA from 1 species
AUUGAACGCUGGCGGCAGGCCUAACACAUGCAAGUCGAGCGGAUGAAGGGGGCUUGCUCCUGGAUUCAGCGGCGGACGGGUGAGUAAUGCCUAGGAAUCUGCCUGGUAGUGGGGGAUAACGUCCGGAAACGGGCGCUAAUACCGCAUACGUCCUGAGGGAGAAGGUGGGGGAUCUUCGGACCUCACGCUAUCAGAUGAGCCUAGGUCGGAUUAGCUAGUUGGUGGGGUAAAGGCCUACCAAGGCGACGAUCCGUAACUGGUCUGAGAGGAUGAUCAGUCACACUGGAACUGAGACACGGUCCAGACUCCUACGGGAGGCAGCAGUGGGGAAUAUUGGACAAUGGGCGAAAGCCUGAUCCAGCCAUGCCGCGUGUGUGAAGAAGGUCUUCGGAUUGUAAAGCACGUUAAGUUGGGAGGAAGGGCAGUAAGUUAAUACCUUGCUGUUUUGACGUUACCAACAGAAUAAGCACCGGCUAACUUCGUG